rnacentral:tRNA from 1 species
GGCUGGGUAGCUCAGUCGGUAGAGCAGCGGACUGAAAAUCCGCGUGUCACCAGUUCGAUCCUGGUCCCAGCCACCA